ensembl:lncRNA
GGAACUUCCGCGAGAAUUCCGUCCUCUGUUGGGCGGCAUUAAGAUGAUGGAUUGUGAGCGGCCUCAUUAAGUCACGCACCGCUGCUGACAGUACCGCCUGUCCUUUAAGACUGACACAGUGCCUAUUGUAAGGAAAUGGAAGAGUGCAGUGUUUGCAGUGUUGAGGAUGCCAUCAGGAAAAGCUGUCAUGGGUUCGCCAGCAGAGUACACAGACCGGCCCAUUAGCCUGGAUCACUGUCAGCCUGCAGGGGCCUGCGGCUCCUCUGCUUCUCACAGCAGCCCCCGGGGAGAGAUGGCCUUUUAAGGAGAACUACCAAGCGCCUGCCUGGAGGAGGGUCGGACGCUCUCUGGCACCCCUGCUUCUUUUGUUUAUUGUCUUUCACCCUCUUUCUCAUGUACCCAGAUGGUUCAUUUAGGAGAAGCUGGUGGAAGGUUCCUCCCCUACAUGCUUAUUUGGGCUUUUUCAUUCUACCCUGCAGGCAUCCUUCACUCAUUCUUUGCCUUCUUUCUGUUUUCAUCUCUCUCUAUCUCUCCUACACAGCACUGAGUGACUUCUCAAGUCAUCCUACACCAUCUCAACAACUCCUUUUCAGAGACAAAAUGCUUUGGCUUGACAAGUUUUGUGUAAACUUGGCUGAAAUGACAUGAAAUGUUCUUCAUAGUGGCAAACUCAAAAAAAAAAAAAGUCUGUCCGUUCGUUUGUCAGCCCAUCCAUCCAUCUCUAUAUCUGUCUGUCUAUCGAUUCGUCCAUCCAUCUGUCCGGUCAUUUAUCUAUCUGUUUAUCUGUCCGUUUGUCUAUCCAUCCAUCUCUACAUCUGUCUAUCCAUCCAUCCAUUCAUCCAUCCAAUUGUCCAGUUGUCUCUCUGUCUGUCCAUCUGUUCAUAUCUAUCUAUCUAUCUAUCUAUCUAUCUAUCUAUCUAUCUAUCUAUCUAUCUAUCUAUCUAUCUAUCUAUCUAUCUAUCUAUCUAUCUAUCUAUCUAUCUAUCUACCUUCCGCUUUAGAUCUACUGGAAUAUUUCAGCAUCUUUACUGCAUAUCAUAUAACAUGGAUCAUCCCAGAACUGUCUUGGAUUUUGCGUCACUCUCUGUUUGAUGUUCUGAUGGACGGGAGAGCAGACAUGGCGCCAGUCGUGUAGCAUUAGAUGUAAAGUUUCCUUCUGCUUCAGUGGAGUUCAUUAUAGCAGAACUGUAGUUCAGUUCAGUGACACCUGCAUCCUCUUUCUCUCUUUCUCUCUCUCUCAUUUUUCAAGUAUGUUUGAGAAGGCGUUUAUUUGGUCUGUGGGUCUUACAGCUCUGCAAAGUUUCAGGUUAAUUGUCUCCGUUUCUUUACUGGCAUGGAAAUUGUGUCAUUUGGGGGCAUUUCCUUUGGGUCUGAAGAAGCCAAUAAUGAUGCCAGUUGUGGACAGUUGGCAUGUUUUCAUUGGAAGUGAUCCAAGGCUAUUUGUCUUGACUCUGGCUGGACUCCAAACUGUUAUUAAAGUUUCUUCUCUUUCCCUGCCAUAAGACUGAAAUGUGGCACUGACCCAAACACACACACACACACACACACACACACACACACACACACACACACACACACACACACACACACACACACACACACACACACACACACACACCAUUUAAGUCAUAUUGAUGCAUAUGCUGCCAUGUUAAAUCAAAAGGAAAAUGACAAGACAGGCUUCCUAUGGUUAGGUUAUGUGAGUCACUAAAUCACAGAUCAUUCUAAAAAGAUCAAGACUGCGUUACUGACACAAUGAGACUAUUAAUUCACAUAACUGGAG